GCGGCGCACCCAAACAUUUUAGCUGCUCGGUGGAUGCUUAUGUCUAUGGGUGGAUGAGAAUGAGAGCUCAGCGACCAGCUCUUGUUGGAGAGAGGAGCUCCGAGCUCUCCUGCUGCAGGAAUCGAAGAUAUCCGCAAGUCCAAGAAUGAUGUACCAGUACAGCCCAACUUGAAUAUAUUCCCAACCAUUUGGAUGGGGGGGCAGAAGACGGAGCUUCAGGCCAAACUGUCCCGCUCCCCUAGGCCAGCUGCACAACAGGGUCCAGACCUACAUCAAUAAAUAGAAUACAGUAAAAAAGGAGUAUGUUGCACUUCCCUAAAAGGCCUAAUGUCAUAAAUAAAUGAAACCAUGUGAAGUACUGUGCAGUAGUAGAAAAUGUUUGUGCUCUCUUUAUAAAGGUUGUCAGAUAUGCCUAAUUGACCGUUCCUUUAUUAUUAUUUAAAAGAGCCUGUCCACCAUCAAGAGUUCUCCAAAAGGGCCGCAAGUGAACUGAUCUCUCAUGUCAUCCAUUGAAUUCUAUGCAUAAUUUCUUCGGGGAAGUUGGGAUUUUAUUUUAUUUCUUUUCUGGAUUUGAGUGUAUGCAGAUCAGGUCAAAUUUUACCGAAAGCUUAACGCUCCUGAGUUUGGUCCUUGCCAAGGGGGGAGUUGUUCCCUGUUGCUCUUGUGCAAUAAACCACUGGCUGUAGGGUACUAGUAGUACCAAACUGCUAAAGAGGCCUGCCACUUUUUAUAUAGAUAAAGAGCCUCAAAAUACUGUAUGUAUUUAUAUAUUAAUUUUAAAUUAAAUUUUGAUUAACUAAUCAGGUGUUUUCCCUCUGGUAACAAGCACCAAAACAUGCUGCUAAAAUGAAUCCGUCGCUGUUGGUUUGGGCACAUUUGGUCUCAUUUUUACAAGGUCUACUGUAUGUAUCUGUGUAUAAAGCUUACUAUUAAAUGGCUAUUUAUAUAAAUAUAUAUUGAUGCAAUAUUAUUGAAUUUGAAAUGUGAGCAAAAGGAAAAAGUGUGAAUAUGUUUACAAACUAGUCUCACCAUGGUGUCCCUAAACUGUGCAUAUUAACACUUUAAAAUAGUUGAAGGCCCUGUAAGGGAUCUGUUCUUGUUGCACUUUGUAUAAAUCUCUGAACUUACUGAUGUUCUCAUCUUCUGUUUAUUAAUGUUUGCACUUCCUUUUUAUUUGUGGGGAAGAUUUCAGUUCUGCACGGCAUAAUGUAGCACUGUUUCUUUGUAAUAUUUGGCUUGUGUUUUUAAAUGGCCGUCACUAUGGCACAUUUCACAAAAUCCUGAGCCUGUUGUUCCUGUGCUGAGCUGAAUGAGUGAAACCUUUUAAUAAAACCCACUGAAUCAAA